UGAAAGCAGUGGUUGGGAGAUUCAUUUGGGAGCAGGAGGAUAAUGCAAAGGCUGUUGAAACAGAGCCAUGAGGUACCCUUUCUGGAUACUCCGAAUACUCCCGAAAGAGAGGCGGCUCUGUGUUGUGAAGUACAACAUUACCCAGUUAAUAACAUGGUUACAGGCUAUGUCAGUAUUGAUGAACUGAGGACUUACUCAGGAGGACUUCAAGACUUCCUACCAGGCCAUUGUGGUUCUUCAGUCUCUAAAAAAAGGCGCUCUACAGUAGAUAUUGCUUAAUGUCAUAUUACAAGGAUACAGAUCACAGGGAUAAUUAAGAGUAACAGUUUUUAUCCGAGAACAACAAAUACAGUAUGGGAUGUUAAAUGGCAGAUUUAGCAGGAUCGCUAGACAGUGUAGUCCCCUUUUCACUAUUCACCAUUGUUUAAGUUGUUUAAUUAUUUUAAAAAAUGUUAUUGAAAUAAAAAGACGUUACUUACAUAUA